rnacentral:lncRNA from 10 species
GUGCCCACCACCACGCUCGGCUAAUUUAGUAUUUUUAGUAGAGACUGGGUUUCUCCAUGUUGGUCAGGCUGGCCUUGAACUCCUGACCUCAGGUGAUCUGCCUGCCUCAGCCUCCCAAAGUGCUGGUAUUACAGGCGUGAGCCACUGUCCAAGGCCAUCAAUGUGGAAUUUUAUACCUAGUGAAAAUAUCUUUCAAAAAUAAAGAUGAAAUAAAAACUUGUUUAGAUGAAGUAAAGAUGAAAAAAUUAGUCACUGGCAGACCUGUACUGAAAGAUAUGCUAAAAAAAGUUCUUCAGACAGAAGAAAAAUGUUAUCAGUUAGAAACCUGGACUAUAUAAAGGAAUAAAGAACACUGAAAAUG